rnacentral:rRNA from 1 species
CACGGAUCCAGACUUUGAUUCUGGCUCAGAUUGAACGCUGGCGGCAUGCCUUACACAUGCAAGUCGAACGGCAGCACGGGUGCUUGCACCUGGUGGCGAGUGGCGAACGGGUGAGUAAUACAUCGGAACAUGUCCUGUAGUGGGGGAUAGCCCGGCGAAAGCCGGAUUAAUACCGCAUACGAUCUACGGGAGAAAGCGGGGGACCUUUUAGGCCUCGCGCGGCAGGACGAACCGAUGUGCGAUUAGCUAGUUGGCGGGGUAAUGGCCCACCAAGGCGACGAUCGCUAGCUGGUCUGAGAGGAUGAUCAGCCACACUGGGACUGAGACACGGCCCAGACUCCUACGGGAGGCAGCAGUGGGGAAUAUUGGACAAUGGGCGCAAGCCUGAUCCAGCAAUGCCGCGUGUGUGAAGAAGGCCUUCGGGUUGUAAAGCACUUUUAUCAGGAGCGAAAUCUGCAUGCUUAAUACGUGUGCAGUCUGACGGUACCUGAGGAAUAAGCACCGGCUAACUUCGUGCCAGCAGCCGCGGUAAUACGAAGGGUGCAAGCGUUAAUCGGAAUUACUGGGCGUAAAGGGUGCGUAGGCGGUUCGUUAAGUCUGUCGUGAAAUCCCCGGGCUCAACCUGGGAAUGGCGAUGGAUACUGGCGAGCUAGAGUGUGUCAGAGGAUGGUGGAAUUCCCGGUGUAGCGGUGAAAUGCGUAGAGAUCGGGAGGAACAUCAGUGGCGAAGGCGGCCAUCUGGGACAACACUGACGCUGAAGCACGAAAGCGUGGGGAGCAAACAGGAUUAGAUACCCUGGUAGUCCACGCCCUAAACGAUGCGAACUGGAUGUUGGUCUCAACUCGGAGAUCAGUGUCGAAGCUAACGCGUUAAGUUCGCCGCCUGGGGAGUACGGUCGCAAGACUGAAACUCAAAGGAAUUGACGGGGGCCCGCACAAGCGGUGGAGUAUGUGGUUUAAUUCGAUGCAACGCGAAGAACCUUACCUGGCCUUGACAUGUCCGGAAUCCUGCAGAGAUGCGGGAGUGCCUUCGGGAAUCUGAACACAGGUGCUUCAUGGCUGUCAUCAGCUCGUGUCGUGAGAUGUUGGCUUAAGUUCCGCAACGAGCGCAACCCUUGUCCUUAGUUGCCAACUAGUAAUGUCGGGAACUUUAAGGAGACUGCCGGUGACAAACCGGAGGAAGGUGGGGAUGACGUCAAGUCCUCAUGGCCCUUACGGCCAGGGCUACACACGUACUACAAUGGUCGGUACAGAGGGUUGCAAUACCGCGAGGUGGAGCCAAUCCCAGAAAGCCGAUCCCAGUCCGGAUUGGAGUCUGCAACUCGACUCCAUGAAGUCGGAAUCGCUAGUAAUCGCGGAUCAGCUAUGGCGCGGUGAAUACGUUCCCGGGCCUUGUACACACCGCCCGUCACACCAUGGGAGUUGGUCUUACCCUAAAACGGUGCGCUAACCGCAAGGAGGCAGCCGGCCACGGUAAGGUCAGCGACUGGGGUGAAGUCGUAACAAGCUAGCCGUAAGCUUCAC